AUACGUAGGUGGCGAGCGUUGUCCGGAAUUACUGGGCGUAAAGGGUGCGUAGGCGGAUAAUCAAGUCAGAUGUGAAAGUCCAUGGCUUAACUGUGGGAGUGCAUUUGAGACUGAAGAUCUAGAGUGCAGGAGAGGGAAGCGGAAUUCCUAGUGUAGCGGUGAAAUGCGUAGAUAUUAGGAAGAACACCAGUGGCGAAGGCGGCUUUCUGGACUGUAACUGACGCUGAAGCACGAAAGCGUGGGGAGCAAACAGGAUUAGAUACCCUGGUAGUCCACGCCGUAAACGAUGAGUAUUAGGUGUAGGGGACGAUAGUCUUCUGUGCCGGAGCAAACGCAAUAAAUACUCCGCCUGGGGAGUACGGUCACAAGACUAAA
rnacentral:rRNA from 1 species